rnacentral:rRNA from 1 species
AUUGAACGCUGGCGGCAUGCCUAACACAUGCAAGUCGAACGGCAGCACGGUCUAGCUUGCUAGAUUGGUGGCGAGUGGCGGACGGGUGAGUAACGCGUAGGAAUAUACCUUGAUGAAUGGGACAACUUGGGGAAACUCAAGCUAAUACCGCAUAAUCUCUUAGGAGGAAAGCUGGGGACCUUUGGGCCUGGCGCAUUAAGAAUAGCCUGCGUCCGAUUGGCUAGUUGGUGGGGUAAGGGCCUACCAAGGCGAUGAUCGGUAGCUGUUCUGAGAGGAAGCUGAGCCAAACUGGAACUGAGAGACGGUCCAGACUCCGCCGGGAGGCAGCAGUGGGGAAUAUUGGACAAUGGGGGGAACCCUGAUCCAGCAAUGCCGCGUGUGUGAAGAAGGCCUGAGGGUUGUAGAGCACUUUCAGUAGGGAGGAGAGGUAUUAGAUUAAGAGUCAGAUACUGAGACGUUACCUACAGAAGAAGCACCGGCUAACUCCGUGCCAGCAGCCGCCGUAA